GUCUACAGCCAUGCCACCCUGAAUAUGCCCAAUCCUGUCUGAUUUCUGAAGCUAAGCAGGGUCGGGCCUGGUUAGUACUUGGAUAGGAGACCGCCUAGGAAGACCAGGUGCUGUAGGCA
rfam:Pteropus alecto contig69383, whole genome shotgun sequence.